UACGAAGGGUGCAAGCGUUAAUCGGAAUUACUGGGCGUAAGGCGUGCGUAGGCGGUUAUUUAAGUCUGUUGGGAAAUCCCCGGGCUCAACCUGGGAAUGGCAAUGGAUACUGGAUAGCUAGAGUGUGAUAGAGGAUGGUGGAAUUCCCGGUGUAGCGGUGAAAUGCGUAGAGAUCGGAAAGAACACCAACGGCGAAAGCACUCUGCUGGGCCGACACUGACACUGAGAGACGAAAGCUAGGGGAGCGAAUGGG
rnacentral:rRNA from 1 species